GCAAUACUUUGGUGGCGACCGGCGCACGGGUGAGUAACGCGUAUGCAACCUACCCUGUACAGGGGGAUAGCCCGGAGAAAUUCGGAUUAAUACCCCAUAAAGAUAUCGAGAGGCAUCUUUUGGUAUUUAAAGUUUCGACGGUACGGGAUGGGCAUGCGUAACAUUAGCUAGUUGGUAGGGUAACGGCCUACCAAGGCGACGAUGUUUAGGGGUCCUGAGAGGGUGAUCCCCCACACUGGUACUGAGACACGGACCAGACUCCUACGGGAGGCAGCAGUGAGGAAUAUUGGUCAAUGGGCGUAAGCCUGAACCAGCCAUCCCGCGUGAAGGAAGACGGCGCUAUGCGUUGUAAACUUCUUUUCCAGAGGAAUAAAAUUUUGUACGAGUACGGAACUGAAGGUACUCUGGGAAUAAGCAUCGGCUAACUCCGUGCCAGCAGCCGCGGUAAUACGGAGGAUGCGAGCGUUAUCCGGAUUUAUUGGGUUUAAAGGGUGCGUAGGCGGAUUAAUAAGUCAGUGGUGAAAACCUUCAGCUUAACUGGAGAACUGCCAUUGAUACUGUUAGUCUUGAGUACGGUCAAGGUAGGCGGAAUGUGUAAUGUAGCGGUGAAAUGCUUAGAUAUUACACAGAACACCGAUUGCGAAGGCAGCUUACUGGGCCAUUACUGACGCUGAUGCACGAAAGCGUGGGGAGCGAACAGGAUUAGAUACCCUGGUAGUCCACGCCGUAAACGAUGAUCACUCGCUGUUAGCGAUACACAGUUAGCG
rnacentral:rRNA from 1 species